rnacentral:rRNA from 1 species
AUUGAACGCUGGCGGCAGGCCUAACACAUGCAAGUCGAGCGGAUGAAGGGAGCUUGCUCCUGGAUUCAGCGGCGGACGGGUGAGUAAUGCCUAGGAAUCUGCCUGGUAGUGGGGGAUAACGUCCGGAAACGGGCGCUAAUACCGCAUACGUCCUGAGGGAGAAAGUGGGGGAUCUUCGGCCCCCCGCCUUUAGGAUGACCCUAGGUCGGAUUAGCUAGUUGGUGGGGUAAAGGCCUACCAAGGCGACGAUCCGUAACUGGUCUGAGAGGAUGAUCAGUCACACUGGAACUGAGACACGGUCCAGACUCCUACGGGAGGCAGCAGUGGGGAAUAUUGGACAAUGGGCGAAAGCCUGAUCCAGCCAUGCCGCGUGUGUGAAGAAGGUCUUCGGAUUGUAAAGCACUUUAAGUUGGGAGGAAGGGCAGUAAGUUAAUACCUUGCUGUUUUGACGUUACCAACAGAAUAAGCACCGGCUAACUUCGUG